CUCUCUCUCUUGCAGGAACUCAUCUUGAGCUAGCAAGUUCCCCUUCUGACUUGCUGUAAUAUUUUCGUGAGUUUACUUUUAGCCACUACAUCUAAUGCAGGGAAAAAAACCAAAAACAGUAGUCUGCCAGCUUAGUGGCUAUUAAAAGAAUAAGUAGGUAUGCUGCUGUGUGUUUUGAAGAUGACAUUUCUGCCUACUAUUAAACCUUUUGCACAUCAAGAAGAACUAUUCCCUUGCACGGUGUGGUGCAGAGAAUCAUAGCAAGAUAAGAAAAUGCUGGACUGGCAUACAAUGACAUCUUGUGGUUCAACUGCUGACUGUUUCCAUUUGCUGAUUUAAAUGACAGAGAAGUAAAAGGUCUGGUUGCAGAAGCUUUGCCUACACUAGGAUGACUACAGUCCAGGUAUUAUCCCUUCUUCCUGUUCUCUGGCUGUAUGAAGUGAUUCUGGAAAUUCUUCUGUUCUCCCUUUCGCAAGCAGCAACAUUAUCUUGUACUUUUGAAGUCAAUGGGAAGAUUGCCAUUUACCACAAUAAAAUUAGGUUCACAAGUGCAGAAAUGAUUAUCAGGAUGUUACUGGCAAUUUUGGGAUGGAUAGACACCUCCCACAGCAGCUAUCUGGCAUCUUGCU